rnacentral:snRNA from 1 species
GAGCACUUGCCCCAGAGGGCUUAUUGGAACGAUACAGAGAAGAUUAGCAUGGCCCCUACACAAGGAUGGCAUGCAAAUUCGUGAAGUGUUCCACAUUUUA